GAAAGCCUGACGGAGCAAGACCGCGUGAGGGAGGAAGGCUCUUGGGUUGUAAACCUCUUUUCUCUGGGAAGAACAAAAUGACGGUACCAGAGGAAUCAGCAUCGGCUAACUCCGUGCCAGCAGCCGCGGUAAGACGGAGGAUGCAAGCGUUAUCCGGAAUGAUUGGGCGUAAAGCGUCCGCAGGUGGCAAUUCAAGUCUGCUGUUAAAGCGCAGGGCUUAACUCUGUAAAGGCAGUGGAAACUGAAUAGCUAGAGUGUGGUAGGGGCAGAGGGAAUUCCCAGUGUAGCGGUGAAAUGCGUAGAGAUUGGGAAGAACAUCGGUGGCGAAGGCGCUCUGCUGGACCAUAACUGACACUCACAGGACGAAAGCUAGGGGAGCGAAUGGGAUUAGAUACCCCAGUAGUCCUAGCCGUAAACGAUGGAUACUAGGUGUUGUCUGUAUCGACCCGGACAGUGCCGUAGCUAACGCGUUAAGUAUCCCGCCUGGGGAGUACGCACGCAAGUGUGAAACUCAAAGGAAUUGACGGGGGCCCGCACAAGCGGUGGAGUAUGUGGUUUAAUUCGAUGCAACGCGAAGAACCUUACCAGGACUUGACAUGUCGCGAAUCUGAGUGAAAGCUCGGAGUGCCUUCGGGAGCGCGAACACAGGUGGUGCAUGGCUGUCGUCAGCUCGUGUCGUGAGAUGUUGGGUUAAGUCCCGCAACGAGCGCAACCCUCGUUUUUAGUUGCCAGCAUUAAGUUGGGCACUCUAAAGAGACUGCCGGUGACAAACCGGAGGAAGGUGGGGAUGACGUCAAGUCAGCAUGCCCCUUACGUCCUGGGCUACACACGUACUACAAUGGUAGGGACAGAGGGCAGCCAACUCGCGAGAGUGAGCUAAUCCCGUAAACCCUGCCUCAGUUCAGAUCGCAGGCUGCAACUCGCCUGCGUGAAGGCGGAAUCGCUAGUAAUCGCCGGUCAGCAUACGGCGGUGAUUCCGUUCCCGGGCCUUGUACACACCGCCCGUCACACCAUGGAAGUUGGCCAUGCCCGAAGUCGUUACUCUAACCGUAAGGAGGAGGGUGCCGAAGGCAGGGCUGAUGACUGGGGUGAAGUCGUAACAAGGUAGCCGUACCGGAAGGUGUGGCUGGAUCACCUCCUUUUAGGGAGACCAACUGAAAUUUAACUAAUACACUUUCACGCGUAAUAUUCAGAUAUCUCUGGGCGUUCGAGGAAAUUGUCGUCGAAGUGCUUUCAAACUAUUACCUAGUUCGGUUGAUGGGCUAUUAGCUCAGUUGGUUAGAGCGCACCCCUGAUAAGGGUGAGGUCUCUGGUUCAAAUCCAGAAUGGCCCACCUUAAUUAGAAGUUAAAAAUAUCUAAUUAGAAAUACUAAAUUUUUAAUUUGUAAUUUUUAAUUUGUAAUUUCCCAAAGCGUGGGGGUAUAGCUCAGUUGGUAGAGCGCUGCCUUUGCAAGGCAGAUGUCAGCGGUUCGAGUCCGCUUACCUCCACUCUUACCCAACCAGCCGAAAACAAACAGAAACAAUCAAGACCAAAAACAAAAAAAUAAGUCAAAAAACUGUUGCGCUUUUAGCAAUAUGUGAUAGACUAGAAAGAGUGACUAUAAAAGCUCAGCACCUAGAUUCAGCUACUAGCUAAUCGGAAUGCUGGUCUUCCAAGUCCAGCCAGAACCUUGAAAACUGCAUAGAAAUAAGUCAUCAAAAAGUUUGAYUGACAUUUACCAGGAAUUUAUUCCGCGUAAAA
rnacentral:sRNA from 1 species